AAUAAAUCAAAUGUUAAGCGUUUUCAACUAUUGAAAAGGGGAUGAGUAGAUGGGAACAAUCGUGUGUCAGACCUGCAACCAGACCAUUGAACAUUUUGAAGUUGAAAAAGUCACAACAUUAUAUGCGAAGUGCCCUAGUU
rnacentral:sRNA from 1 species